rnacentral:rRNA from 1 species
ACGAAGGGGGCUAGCGUUGCUCGGAAUUACUGGGCGUAAAGGGAGCGUAGGCGGGUUGACAAGUUGGAGGUGAAAGCCCAGGGCUCAACCCUGGAAUUGCCUUCAAAACUGUCAGCCUUGAGUAUGGAAGAGGUAAGUGGAACUCCGAGUGUAGAGGUGAAAUUCGUAGAUAUUCGGAAGAACACCAGUGGCGAAGGCGACUUACUGGUCCAUGACUGACGCUGAGGCUCGAAAGCGUGGGGAGCAAACAGGAUUAGAUACCCUGGUAGUCCACGCUGUAAACGAUGAUUGCUAGUUGUCGGGCGGCAUGCCGUUCGGUGACGCAGCUAACGCAUUAAGCAAUCCGCCUGGGGAGUACGGUCGCAAGAUUA